rnacentral:misc_RNA from 1 species
UUCAUGUGUGCGUGUAGUUGUUUUGUGAAGUGAUUCUAUUGUUUUUUCUUAACAAUAAUUUUCAAACUCUUAUCAUGGGUACAUCAGAUUUAGAAUGUAUAGAGUCUAAGAGAGACAUGGUUACUAUAGAUUCUGAAUCCGACAUGUUGGUUGACCAACGAAAGAAAAAGAAAAGGAAACAUAAACACCAUAAACAUAAGAAAGAUAAAUUAAUUGAACGAGAAGAUGGGAGAAUAGAACGGCAAGAACGGAAAAGGCAUAAGAAACAUAAACGACCUAAAAAAGAAAGAGAAGUUGAAAAUGGAUCAUUGGAUGAUAAAACAUCACGUGCAAUUCAAAAAGAUUUAGGUGUAAAUGGCAAAGUAAAAAAUUCUUUAUUGGAAGUGGUUUCUACUGAAGAGAGUGAGGAUGAAAAACUAGUAGAUUUAGAUUCAGAUGAAGUUGAUUGUACUAUUAUUGAAGAUGAUAUCGACCUUGAAGAAUUAAUGAAACAAAAGGAGCGGUUACAAGCGUGUUUAGUACAAUAUCUUUCGGAUGAAUCUGAAAAAGAGGAAAAAGAACCAGAUCAAGAUGAAAUAAAAGCUGCUGAAACACCUGAUGUUAUACUUGUAGAGGAUGAUAGUGAAAAUGACAAUAUACCCCCUAAGAAACGAGCUAGAAGUAAGUCUGGUAGUAGAGAACGCAAAAAAAUAAUGAAACCUGAAAGACGUGUAGUGGUAGACAUGACUAGAGACCGUAGGAGUCGAGAGGAGCAUAAAGAUAAACGAAGAGAAUCAGAAAGAAGGCGGGAAGAAAAAGUUCGUACUAAAGAGGAAGUAAGAAGAGAUGAUAGUAGAAAAGACGAUCGUCAAGUGCGGAAAACAAGUGAUAGACACAGAGAGGAUUCGCGUAAGGAAGAUAAUAAAAGACGGAUAGAAGAUGAUAAGCGUAAAGAUUCUAUUAAAAGAGAUGAAUUACGUAAAAGAGAACAAGAUAGAAGAGAAGAAGAACGAAGACGAGAUACAGACCAUCAUAAUUCUAGAUCUCGCAAUGAAUAUAAAUCAUUGGAUAAAAACGAUAAAUCUAAACGCGAAAGUCGUGAUAGAUUAGAAAGCCGAGAACGACAAAACAGUCGUGAUCGACAUGUGAGUCAUGACAGACAUAUUAGUCGCGAUCGUCAUAUCAGUCGUGAUCGACAUGUUAGUAGGGAUCGACACAUUAGUCGAGACCGACAUAUUAGUCGAGACAGACACGGUAGUCGAGAUCGUCAUACCAGUAAAGAUCGACCGGCUAGUCGCGAUCGUCGUAGUCGAGACAGACCUACGAGCAGAGACCGUCAUAGUCGUGAUAAAAGAGACAGUAGGGAGCGUCAUACUAGUCGAGAUCGGCCUAGAGAUGCUAGAGGUAGUCGCGAUCGGAAUGAUAUGCGAGAUCGACGAGACAGUCGAAACCGUGAUAGAAUCAGAGAGCGUUCAAGAAGUACAAGAAGAUCUCGUAGCCCUAUUAGAAGUAGAUUGGAUAGAGAUCGAAAUGACCGAUAUAAACGCUCUAGGUCACUCUCACGAGGUAGAAGAGAUCGGGAUAAACAUGACAGGGAUAGAGAGAAAAAUGGUAAAAGAGAACGUAAUGAUAAAUAUAAAGAUUCUUUAUCAGAAGGGCUGAAAGUAGAACACUCAGAAACUUCAAGUGAAGAAGAUAUCAAAGACAUUGAUAUUGAAGAAGAAGAAGAUGAAGAAGCUAUUAUUGAACGUAGAAGGAAACAAAGAGAAGAACUUUUAAAGAGGCUGGGUGGCCCAAAUGAAGAUUCAAAUAUGUCGGCUGAUAUUAAUGCCGUUCCUGCAAGUCCACCUUCUGAAAGUCACUCAAAUGUGUCACAAAAGUCAAUAGAAGUUCCAUCUAAUAAUAACGAAUCCACAUCAGAGAGUCAUACCCCACCACUGCCUGAAAAACCAAAGUCGCCACAAGUUAAAAAGAGAAAAUCUAGGUUUGAAGAUGCCCCACCAGAAGAGAUUGAUAAAAAUGAAGAUGCGAAACCAAUGGAAAAAAUUAAACAAGAAGAAAAACAAAAUGCGAAAAAGUCUAAUGAAUGGGACAUGUUUGCUGAGGCAGACAAUAUUGGUGAUUUUAAUAGUCCCACAGUCGAAGGAAAACGACAAGGUGGGCCAGAUAAUCCAAGUUUAACAGAUAAUUGGGAUGAUGCAGAAGGAUAUUAUCGGGUACGUGUGGGUGAAACAUUAGAUUCUCGAUAUGUUGUUUAUGGAUAUACUGGUCAGGGUGUAUUCAGUAAUGUUGUAAGAGCUAGAGAUACUGCUAGGGGCAAUUUAGAUGUUGCUGUGAAAAUUAUAAGGAACAAUGAAAUAAUGCACAAAACUGGCCUUAAAGAAUUAGAAAUUCUUAGAAAACUUAAUGAUGCAGAUCCAGAAGACAGAUUUCAUUGUUUGCGACUUUUUAGGCACUUCUUUCAUAAAAAUCACCUAUGUAUGGUGUUUGAACCUUUGGCUAUGAAUUUAAGAGAGGUAUUAAAAAAAUAUGGAAAAGACGUUGGUUUACAUGUUAAAGCGGUAAGGUCGUAUACGCAACAACUUUUCCUUGCUCUCAAGUUAUUAAAACGUGCAAAUAUUCUACAUGCUGACAUUAAACCGGAUAACAUUCUAGUCAGUGAAAGCAAGUUAGUACUGAAACUCUGUGAUUUCGGCUCAGCGUCCCAUGCUCAUGAAAAUGAGAUAACACCGUAUUUGGUAUCAAGAUUUUACCGAGCACCUGAAAUUAUUCUUGGUAUACCAUAUGAUUUCGGCAUUGACAUGUGGUCUGUGGGAUGCACCAUAUACGAAUUAUACACGGGAAAAAUAAUGUUCUCGGGCAAAACGAACAACCAAAUGUUGAAAUUCUUCAUGGACUUAAAAGGCAAAAUGCCUAAUAAGCUGAUUAGGAAAGGCACAUUCAAGGACCUACAUUUUGACUCUAACUGCAAUUUCCUGUAUCAUGAAGUUGAUAAGGUCACGGAACGGGAGAAAGUUGUAGUGAUGUCUACGUUACCUGCCACUCGUGAUCUAAGCGCAGAAUUAGGUGGAAAUUCUUUACCACCAGAACAAAGUCGAAAAGUUGGACAGCUAAAGGAUCUUUUGGAACGAACAUUGAUGUUGGAUGCAGGAAAGAGAAUCACUGUGAACCACGCUCUGGCGCAUCCAUUUAUACAAGAAAAGAUCUAGAUAUGAGUCUUCGAUUCAAAUCAUCGAUAAGUGCGGGUGGACCUUUCAUGGGCUUUUAACGCCGAUCCCGUUGCAAGCCCUCCCUGUGAGGAGGGGAGGCAAAGGAAGAGAUGAAAUCAGUUGGUGGAAAACGUGAUGAUGAAGGAAAAUGGGGUGAGAUUCUCUCAGCAGCAGCUUGGCAACUGUAUAAAUAUGAUGUCUAUCGCAAAA